GCCUAACGUCACUUCCGCUGUCGCCUCCGUGUGAGCAGGGCCCGGCUGAGACGCUGCUGCUCCCCAGACAGGUUGCAGAAGGACGUCCAUGUUUCGCUCCAGCUCAUCCCAUCCUCCCAUGGGCCAGGGGAGAGAAAUGGCUGCAGAGGAGCCAGUUCAGGGGCCGGUGACCUUCGAGGAGGUGGCUGUGUAUUUCAC